rnacentral:lncRNA from 1 species
GUGAAGACCAGAGAUUCUGCCUGACAUCAUGAAGAAAGGCAAGAGAGAAAAAAUUAUUAAGAACCUCCUACUCCCUAGGCAUAAUGUUAGGUGCUGAGGAUACAGAUGAAAAUGUAAGAUGGUUCUUUUCUUCCAAAGACUUCUAAUCCUAAAGACAACAUAGAAAUGAAGGGUGGCCAAGCAAUGGAACUUUGGUCUAAAACACUAAAAAAAUAACAAGAAUGGUGGAUGGAACCAACCAGAGGCUAAUGUUGCAAAAGCCAAAGGGAGAAGUGAGUUGAAGAGAAGAGAAUAGGAUCAGUCUGAGAAACUACAGAGAAGUUGGGGAAGAUGAGGAGGAAGAAUAAGGAAAGACCUUUCAUGUGGUCAUUGAAGAAAGUUUUUUCUGCAAUCUAAUGGGACUAUAUGAUGUGAAAGCGUCCACAUGCUUUGUCUCUGGAUCCUCUUCAGUCACCUAGACUCUUCUAGUCUCCCAUGUGGAAUGAAUUGGGGGUUCAGAGCCAACAGUCACGUCUGUCUGUUAUCACAGCUACUUUGUGGGGGGACCAACACUGGACCAAAGAUUUCAGGAACUCAUUGGAAGAUAGGAGCAGUUAAAUCAUGAAUGAUCACCUUACCCUUGAACUACAAUGGGUCUGUUUCUGAAUCUCAUUCACUGGAUCACUGGUGAUAAGUAGAAGAUAAAGAUGGAAUCUUUAUUGUAACAUCACAAGGAGGUGGCAUAAAACUGUGUAAAAGUUGCCAAGAAAAACAAACAAAAGAGCCCAGAUUGCUAAUGCAUCUUCUCUUUUGGCCUAUCUAAAGACAGAAGGAGUAGAGGAGCCAAUUGGAUUUGAGUAGGAACAUUCAUGGGUCUUCACCAUAAACUUUAAUGGUUGCAGAAGUUAAAAUGUAUUCCUUUCCAGAAAGACACAAUUCAUCUGGUGUGUCAACACUGGUACCUUUGGCAUGGAGAGGAAGAAGACAUAGCAUAUGGCGUACAGCAAGAUGGAGUGAGAUAUCCUUCUUAUUUAGGAAGGACAAGAGAGCAGAACAUGCAGCAUUAUCAAGGAAAAAUAUUCAAGUAAACAAUCAAAAUGAAUUGAAUUGAGUAGGUAAAGAAUUUUCUUAUAUCCAUAGAGAUUCUUGAAGACUCAUAUCCUUAGUUAUAGAGGAAUUGAAAUCUCUGUUGUUGGAAGGAAAAAAAAAUCUACAGUAACAAAAUGAUGGAUCCUUGAAGUAUUUGCUAUAACUGCAAUAAGAUCAACUGAAAUCCAUUUGGGACUUCCCAGGAAGGCCAUAGGAAGCCUAGAUUAGUCCCUCCUCUUGCUGGUGCCUUCUCUACAAUGUACAUAAUAAAUAUCUUCUAUAAACCCA